rnacentral:misc_RNA from 1 species
UUCUUUACUAUGAGGAUAUAGUUAAAAAUCAAACUAAAUUGCUAGAGGUUCAAGAUUUUCUGAAGGUUCCACAUAGCGAUCUUAGGAGUCGUCAAGUAAAGAUACAUAAAGGAUCGUUGUCUAACCUGGUUGAGAAUUGGGAUGAAGUCCUAAAAACUCUCAAAGGAACAGAUUAUGAAAGCUUACUGUUUGGAGACUAUAGGAGGUAAAGCUAAUGAUGUACAUAUCGUGUUAUACAUUUGACAUUUUUCCCAUUUAUUUUUAUAGUUGUAGGAGCCAACAGGAAUUCUACCCUGCUGAAAUUUUGCAUUUUGUUUUCAGUUUCUUGUUUCUGAAUUUUCUUUGUCGUCCCACG